AACGAACGCUGGCGGCAGGCCUAACACAUGCAAGUCGAGCGAACCCUUCGGGGUUAGCGGCGGACGGGUUAGUAACGCGUGGGAAUAUGCCCAAAGGUACGGAAUAGCCUCGGGAAACUGAGAGUAAUACCGUAUGUGCCCUUCGGGGGAAAGAUUUAUCGCCUUUGGAUUAGCCCGCGUUGGAUUAGGUAGUUGGUGGGGUAAUGGCCUACCAAGCCGACGAUCCAUAGCUGGUUUGAGAGGAUGAUCAGCAACACUGGGACUGAGACACGGCCCAGACUCCUACGGGAGGCAGCAGUGGGGAAUCUUAGACAAUGGGGGAAACCCUGAUCUAGCCAUGCCGCGUGGACGAUGAAGGCCUUAGGGUUGUAAAGUCCUUUCAGCUGGGAAGAUAAUGACGGUACCAGCAGAAGAAGCCCCGGCUAACUCCGUGCCAGCCGCCGCAGUAAGAC
rnacentral:rRNA from 1 species